AAAUACACAGUAGGAUAUAACCUAGAUUAUAGAUGAUGAUAUU
rnacentral:guide_RNA from 1 species